rnacentral:rRNA from 1 species
GAUGAACGCUAGCGGGAGGCCUAAUACAUGCAAGUCGAACGGUAACAGGGUAGCAAUACCGCUGACGAGUGGCGCACGGGUGAGUAACACGUACACAAUCUGCCUUAUACUGGGGCAUACCCUCGGGAAACUGAGAAUAAUUCCCCAUAACAUAUUGAAAAGGCAUCUUUUUAAUAUUAAAACUCCGGUGGUAUAAGAUGAGUGUGCGUCUGAUUAGCUAGUUGGCGGGGUAAAGCCCACCAAGGCGACGAUCGGUAGCUGGUCUGAGAGGACGACCAGCCACACUGGAACUGAGACACGGUCCAGACUCCUACGGGAGGCAGCAGGUGGGGAAUAUUGGACAAUGGGCGACAAGCCUGAUCCAGCCAUGCCGCGUGGGUGAAGAAGGCC